rnacentral:rRNA from 1 species
UAAUACGUAGGUGGCGAGCGUUGUCCGGAUUUACUGGGCGUAAAGCGCGCGUAGGCGGCUUGUUAAGUCUGGGGUGAAAUCUCCCGGCUCAACCGGGAGGGGUCCUCGGAUACUGGCAGGCUGGAGGGGAGCAGAGGAGAGCGGAAUUCCCCGGUGUAGUGGUGAAAUGCGUAGAUAUCGGGAGGAACACCAGUGGCGAAGGCGGCUCUCUGGGCUCUACCUGACGCUGAGGCGCGAAAGCGUGGGGAGCGAAACCGGAUUAGAUACCCGGGUAGUCCACGCUGUAAACGAUGGACACUAGGUGUGGGAGGUAUCGACCCCUUCCGUGCCGAAGCUAACGCCAUAAGUGUCCCGCCUGGGGAGUACGGCCGCAAGGCUAAAACUCAAAGGAAUUGACGGGGCCCGCACAAGCAGCGGAGCGUGUGGUUUAAUUCGACGCAACGCGAAGAACCUUACCAGGGCUUGACGUGUCGGUGGUAGCGACGGGAAACCGAAGCGACCCUUUGGGGGAGCCGGUGCAGGUGCUGCAUGGCUGUC